rnacentral:rRNA from 1 species
UACGAAGGUCCCAAGCGUUAUCCGGAUUUAUUGGGUUUAAAGGGUGCGUAGGCGGUCUAUUAAGUCAGUGGUGAAGCCUCAAGCUCAACUUGGGAACUGCCAUUGAUACUGAUGGACUUGAGUACAUUUGAGGUGGCGGAAUGUGUCAUGUAGCGGUGAAAUGCUUAGAUAUGACACAGAACACCGAUUGCGAAGGCAGCUCACUAAACUGUAACUGACGCUGAGGCACGAAAGCGUGGGGAGCAAACAGG